AACGCACCUUGCGCCCUUUGGCUAUUCCGAAGGGCAUGCCUGUUUGAGUAUCAUGAACACCUCAACUCUCAUGGUUUGCCAUGAUGAGCUUGGACUUUGGGGGUCUUGCUGGCCUAUUGUCAGCUCCUCUAAAAUGAAUCAGCUUGCCAGUGUUUGGUGGCAUCACAGGUGUGAUAACUAUCUACACUUGUGGAUUUCCAUCAGAUGACCUUCAGCGAUGAAGGUUCGCUGGGGCUCAUAAAUGUCUCUCCCAGCGGAGAUGGCUCUUUUGAAUGUUUGAUCUCAAAUCAGGUAGGACUACCCGCUGAACUUAA
rnacentral:misc_RNA from 1 species